rnacentral:sRNA from 1 species
AAUUAAUUUCCGGUCCUGUUUAAUUUCGAAACGGGAAAAAACCAAAUUAUAUAAGGCAGCGAUAUAUUCGUUAAUUAUAAUGGGUUAAAUUUGUUAUUUUAACGCGUUAACGCGUUAUCGCUCCCGCUGUCGUUCUUUCUCCGCUUUUUCCGCACGUUAUUGCUCUUUUUCUGCGCGUUACUCUGCCUUUCGCAAUUGCCUUCUCAGUUUUUCCACAUUUGUCGAUCCAUUUAUAACGCGUAAGGGCAUAGGUUAUAUUGCGGGUUAAUUAGGAUAUAAUUGUCGCAAUCCGAAUAUUUUGAAUUGCGGCGUUAUUUGAGUGGAGCCGUAUUACGUACGCAUAUUGCGAGGGGCAACCUGUCCGAAACACCCAAAUUAACGAAUCGACCGAUGUACGGACGUAUUCAAAUAUAAAAUUAACCAGGGCCUUGGGCCAGGUAAAUGGAUUAUAUUUGAGCCCAUAUUUAUUAGCGAUUUUUGGCGGCCAUAAAAUUUCGGUUUUCCAUAUUUAUAUAUACAUUUGCAGGGACCAAUUAUGCGGUCGUAAUAUUUAAUGGAAAAUUUCCUGCGGCGGUUUUUGCAUCAAAUGGCAUUUAUAGGCGGUUUGGACGGUGUUUAGCCUAUGUAGGCGAUUGGCGAUUCAGGGUUUCAAAUAACGGCCGAACCACUAAUUUAAUCGCAUACAAUUGGCUGACCAAACUCUUAAUCCCGCGUACGGUCCUCUACCACCUAGCGCCAAACAAUAAUAGCUUUCUGGCUGCCCAAUUUAAUAUAUUUUACGCGUUGAAACAGCAAAUACCAUAUAAUAUUAUAUUAAUUAACCUCGUUGGUACGCUUUAGCUAUAACAGUAUAUUGGACCACUAUAGUUAUAAAUAUAAUAUUUCCUAGGUGCGUUGAAAAUGGCGUAAAUUAAAGCAAAAAUUAUAUGCUGGCAAUUUACCGCGGUAUUACGGUUUUGGAAAGUUGGAGUGGUAUUGCAGUCCUGAACGUAUUUAAAUGCGCAUAAACGACGGCGCGUGCUAAAAUAAGUUUACACCAUUUUUGCCCAGUGCAGGGAUUUUUUUAUACGCCCCGUUUAUAAAAUUCCACACCCGCACCGUACAAAAAUAUAAAAUGUAACCUAUAAUUACAGGGCCACCCUCCGUUUACGGAGUAUGGUUCCGAUAGGUUUACCCAGUUCGACCACAAUAAUUGUUUCCAUAUCCGGUGCUUUUUUAACCGCCAUGGACUAUUAGCCCUACCUUUCCGAAAAACCGUUUGCAUUGUUACCGAAGGUGCUUAGGUAAUUUAAUAUGGAUUUCCUAAUUUUGCAUUCCAAAAUGGCCGGCGUCUAAUAAAAAAUAAAUAAAACAGGAGUAUGGGACGAAAAUAACGAUGGGCGUCCAGGAGCUUUUGGACGAGUUUAAUUCCUAAUAAAUUCCAAACAAGGUUUGUUUUGGCGCAUCCAAAUUUUUAAUCUGUUAAUUUGCCUGUUAAAAGUCCAACAGCACGGCGAAUAAUUAAAUUUUGCGAAAAAAACCUUCACUUUUAUAUAUUGUUUUUUCAGUAAGGCUGCAGCGCCUUAACGAGGGAGUGUAUAUUUUGGCCCGCUUGCUGCCGACCCAACAGUACCAGCGGCAGCAAUAGGUGCAUAUGGCAGGUUCAAAUUCCAAUUCUGUUUUUUACCCGCAUUUUGGGGUAAAUAUUCCUAUUGGCCUUCACCUCCCAUAGAAAGAUGUACAUUAGAACGCAUCGAUCCCCAUUAUUACAUUGGCGGUGUUUUUUUUAAAUAAGGAUUAAACUAAACCCUAACAGGUAGGAAUCUUUGCAGCUCGAGCCACAAAAAACCAAUAUUGAAAAGCAAGGGGUUCGAGUAUUUUGCUCCCGUUUACCUGUAGUUGGUUGCCUGUGGGCUUUUCGGAAUGUUACGUUGGUCGUCCGGGCCGGAUGCGUUGUUCCGUGCAGCAAAUUAAAAAGCGGUAAAGAUUAGCAGAAUGGGGGAGGGUAAAUACGGACCAGGCCAUUUUUAAAUCCUUUAUUGCGAGGAUUGGCGAUUAGUAAUAUGGUGGGGUUUUUUAUCCUUAUAGUUUGUUGGUUCGUUUUAUAGUUGUUCGAUAAUAAAUUAGGCAAUUAGGGUGGGUGGGUAUUUAUUAGAUUCGCUGCCUCGAUUAACGCCUCCACCUUAAAUGGCAGGUAGCUUUGUCGACUUACAUUAUCCCAGCAAAAAACGGGCCCCUCCUUUCCACAAUUCCUAAACACGGAUUAUAACGGAUGUGGCAUCUUUUUAUUUUACGCUGAUUGUCUAUUUUGUUUAUCCCUACCCGUAAUUGCCACCAUUUGUUUUUUCCAUUUCGUACAUAUACCACCAUGGAGCAGCACAUUAGCCCUUUCGACACUUUUGGUUUGGAAUAUGGAAUUUACUUAAAAGACCAGAUCCAAAGCGCCUUCCGAAUAGUAUCUUCGAUAAUUUAUGGAGAUUCUCGUAGCGAAAGCACGUCCAAUAAACCAAAAUGGCUCACUUUCGAACAAAUGACCAGCGCCAAAAACUUACUGCUUAAUUUAUCGCAAAUAGGAUCGCAAUUUACGGAAAAUGCAAAGAAAUUCAGCAUUUUCCCCCGGACAGUUUUUGUGGAAAGAAAAGAUAGAACGAACGAAAUCACAUUUAUAUCCCCCUCAAAAUUACAAAUCCACAAAUCAUUAGUUUUUUGCGAUAAAUAUUAGGCUAUUGUGCAUAAAAAAAACCUGCGACGACAUCGGCAAACCUAUAACAAUUACUGUUGCACAUAUUGCGAGGCCGAAUUUUUUCGAUAAGAAUAUUUGAGCCAUCUUACUGUUAAUAACUUUGACAAAUGCCAAAUUUACUGCAAAACUGUUACGAAAAAGGCGUAUACCAAAUACCUGGAACGGAUAUAUGGAUGGGCAAAAUGCCCCUUUUGUUUAACAUUCUACCCUAGUUUGGACCGGAUGCAAAAACAUUUGGGCGCGACAUAUCUAAUAAGACGUUGCAGUUUUUGCCCCGAAAAUAAUAUAUACGAACUGUCAAUCUAUGUUUUUGUGGGUUAUUAAUGUGUGACCUGCCUUUGCGGGGCCGAGAUUUGCAACGAAUCGCUAUUGGGUUAUUUAAAACGGCAACAUUGGUUUUCGGCCUGCUUUAGCGGCGAAAUUUGUAUUAUAAGCGGUUACGACGAUCACGAUUCUAUUUUGGCUUAUAUUAACAAAUCGCACCUCCCAGACCAAUGCCCGGUUUGCGAAUAUUUUGUUUUUGGGACCGGAACGUUUUGGAAUUAUUUAUCCCAAAGAUAUUAUUUCCGGUUUUGCGAAAAAUGCAAUAUUUCGGAUUAUUAUUAAACGGCAAUAGGAAUUUAAUCCAACCAGCGACAAUUACAUUUGGACGAAAACCAUAUAUGGAAAGAAUGUCGCAAUUGUCGAACUGGUAUUUAAAUAAAUCAGAUGCCAGAACAUUUCCAAAAUUCCCAUAAUUAUAUAAUAUGCGAUGUUUGCGCCGACGUAUGGCCCCCCAAUGAAUUAAAGGGAUAUAAAAUGCGACAGCACCGUCGCUGCGAAAUUUGCGACGUAUAUAUUUUAAACGAAAAUUACCUCCAGCAUUUAGCCACGCACGGAAAAAAACCUUGCCCGCUAUGCGACGAAAUCCUUUUCCUAGAUAAAUUUCCCCUUUAUUUUUCGAUUAAGUAUAACGAAACGAAUAUUUGCCCUAUAUCCGAUUGCAAAAUAUAUUAUUUUAAGUCAGGCCUGCAAGUUCAUGUUUGCCAGACCCACGGGUGGGGAAAAUGCCGUUUUUGUAAUAUAAUAACUGCUCCUGGGCAGCCAUUGCGAAACCAUAAACUUAAAUACAGCCCCAAGAUUUGCCAGAUUUGUAACGAGCAAAUUCCUGCAGACGAUUUUCGACAAUAUUAAAAGGCCGAAUAUCAGAUCCAGGAAUGCCCCUUUUGCGAAAAGUCAGGGAAUAACCUCCUCCAUUAUAUUCAUAAUUAUUACCCUUUAGCCGAAACAAGCGCGAAAAAUGCAAACCAAAAUAAUACGGCAUUUGAUUUCCGCAAAAGGGCUUAUAAAGCCGAUAUUGGGCUGGUUAUACCGAAUCCUGCCUCUCAACCAACGCAAAACAAAUUUUGGAAUAUUUACAAUUUACUAAACAAUGUGCGAAAAUCUUCAAAACAAAAUUUGUUAGCGCCCUUUUAUCCAGCGAUUAUUUUAUCUGCAACUAAUAUUAUAGGGUCGAUUGGAAAUAUAUUGGAAAUUUAAAAUCGACAAGGCGUACGUAACGCCAGGGCCACAACACCCAUCCGUAAUCAGGUGAAUAUCUUAUCGGAAAAGGAAGAUAUGAACGUAUUAUUUCGACAAAUAGGAUUAUUUGAGGGAGUUCACUUUAAUCGGCGGUUUAAACAAUUAUAUAUAUUACCAGGAUAUGUAACGAAACGCAACUUUGCCGAAAGUCAUACCACACCCGCUAACAAACGUCGCAAAAAAAUUAAUAUAAAGCAACUGGCUACCCACAUUGGAAAUGAAAAAACCAAAUUUGGAUUUCGUACUUUUAUUUAAUUAUGUUUUACCAAUAUAAAAACGGCCACGCCCGUAUUCCCCGCUACACCGGACCCUGCAUCGGACCUUUUGCAACUGGCCUUAAAAUUUAGCGAAAAAGCGGCAAACUAUAAAAAGGCGAUUGGUAUAUAUUGGCUGUAUUAAUAUAUCAACCUAUUGGAGUUGGCCAAGGUUUUCCAUAAUUCCAAACAUGGACGCAUUCGAGUUAGCUCAGAUAAAUACAAUGGGAUUUUGAGGUUGCAAAACAAGGAAAACAACAAAAGAAACAAAAAUAAAUUUGCAAACCAAAUCAGGUUUGGGCGCAAAAUCUGGAAGAUUUGCGCAAUGGACAUCGGUAAAAAGUAUUUAGGGGCAUUUCCGUUUUUUGUUAUCGCAAUAAAAACAGAAGAUAUUUUCAAGGUCACCGACGAUAUAUUGCCAUCUCUAAAUAUCUUGUUUUCCCGUUAUAUCCAUUUAUGGACGAACGGAAAGAUGUUGGUCGACUACAUUAGGCGGGGCUGUUGUCCCGAGGGUCGAAAGGCGAUUGAGGAUAUUCUUUUGUAAAUUCGUUCUGUUUUUCUCUAUUUUUUGUUUUAGGUUAAAUAUGUCCAAAAGAAAACCUCGCAUUGUAGCCUUCCAGAUUUGGCAUGUGGAUAUUGACCUUUCGGGGUGCGUUUUGUAACGGGCUAGUUCCUAUUAACCUUCCCUUUUGAAAAGAUAGCUAGGGGCAGCAUUCCAAUACCCAAUUGUGAUAUAUUUGUAUCGAUCUGCACCCUACAGGGCUACUAGUCUUAGCUGCUUCACAGAUAUGGGGCUGUAUUUGGCCUGGUUUUGAUUCAUUGUUGCAAAAUUAAAUAAGGAGUGAAGCGUAAAAGGGUGGCCUGGUCCUAAAACAUCCUGCCUCUUUCUUAAUGUUUCAAGUUCUAAAUCUUCUGCUUUUUCCCAAUCACCAUUCUACCAAUCAGGUUUGCAGAUUCCGCAAGGAUUCUGGAAAGAUUGGCUAUGCGGGUAAAUAAUCGUCUUUAACCACCUUUUGCAUUGUUGUUCGUCCAAGCCUCCAAUGCUCCCAUGCGCCAUUAUCGAUAUGUUUGGAAAGCUCCUCAUCUGCAAAAACUACCCGACCAAAACCAGGCGCUGGAUCCAGCACUGGGGAUUUGCAAAAUCGGCAGGUAUUGGUUUAGAAGAUAAGGUGCGGCUUCCAUAUAUUUCAGCUACGUAUUAAACAACAGUGGUAAUAUUAGGAGAAGGCGUAAUUAAAUAACUGUUUUAUUAAGGGAGGUUGCUAAUAAUAUUAGCUCCAAUGUAGGUUAUUCGGAAGAACCUUAGGGCCUCGGAGCUCCAAAUUACCCGGGCAGGUAAUAUUUUCCUGAGUCGCGAAGGAGUUAGCCUGAAGGGGGCAGAAGAGGAUUGGAAAAGAACUGGGGCGCAACACGGGAAGGCCUUUUGAAACGCCCGAUUACGUCCAGACUUAUAAUACCUGUACAUACUUGGAAACGGUUAGGGCAGGGAAUUUUGUAAGAUGCAGACCCAUUUAAAAAUACCCCAGUUAAAUGCCGGAAUGCUACGCCGAAAUUAUCCUAAAAGCUCCGUAGAGGUAAAGGCCAAUCGGAACGAGCCCGUCACAAAACGCACCCCUGACGGCCAGCAUUAAUUUCACCACCGAUUUUUCGUCAUACCUGCUUAAACCUCCCUGCUCAAAACCAAAUGGCUCAAAUGUUUCGCAAAUAAUGGCCUAUUGGGGGUAGGAGAUUACGGCGGCGAGCCCUGGUCCUUAAAAAUAUCCCUGCAAUUUGUAAAUAAGGUGCCCAAAUAUUGCAACUCCCUUUGUUAUUAAUAACUCCCUACUUUAAAUCCUUGUAACAGGUAUAAUUUAUUACGGAGGCCUCCUAAUGGGUGCAUUUGCGGUCACAGGCGGAUUUUUUCGCAUAUUGGUAUGGUCGUAUUGCUGAAGCUAGCGGGAUAGUUGUGCCUAUUUGGGGAUGUUCGCUUACCUCUGCCCACUAACCCGGCUUUAUAUCAAAAAAAUUUCGGAACGCGGGUAAUUGAGCAUAUAUUGGUCAAUCAAAUGAUCAACGCCGAAAGGAUGGAGGCAAGGAACGCCUUGGGGCUCGUUGCAAUUUCGUUGUCGCUUAUUUUAAUCCAAUAAUCUUUUGGGGUUUUGCAUUUUUUCGCACAUUGCUUUUUACACCUUUUUCGGUAGUUGGUAAUAUUUCAAAUAUUAGGCAAAACUUAAACGCCGAUACGUAUUUAAUAAUUAAUAGAUUGUUUAGGGAACAAUUAGAAAUAUAAAUUUGUUUUGGUUUAUUUGGUAAUAGGCACGACGGGCAAUUUUCUCGAGUUUGUUUUGAGCAUUGCCAGGUUUGAAAUUCAUCAAAUGUCGUUAGUAUUUUCUGCUCGUUAUUUUUUGUUUUGGCCACCAAAAUUACCUUAUCUACUUUGGCAGAUCAAAUUAGCCAAUCACCGUUUUGAAUGGACAGAAUAUUAUCCUAAUAGCAAAUCCUCCAAGCCUUAUCUGGAAACCUUUUUUAGAACGAUAAUAACGAAAAUGGACCCAUUAAACCAUAUAUUACGCCUCGAAAAGGCCAAAUAAAUGUAUAAGAACCACGUUGCAGGUCGACGAGCUUCUAUUAACUGGAUUGCAUCCGAAAUCCCCGCCGGUAUAUUAUGGGUAAUUAAGGCGAAAAUCGAACGACAUACGCAAUGGCCUGCUCGCCUUUUCGCGGCCGGCUUUCCUCCCAAUAAACUUUAUAUAAGGUAUGCAUUACGGGCGAGUGAUUGGGGCGUCUAACUAAUAGCGAUUUGAAAUAUAUAAUAUAACGUUGCAAUUAAGAGAAAAACUCCUUAAAUGUUUUAGAGUGUACGAACUAGAAUACAGAAACUGACUUUGAAAAUUCGCGCUAAAGCAGGAUUAGAAUAGGCCAUGAUAAUAGGUGCAAGGCACAAAAUAGGCUGUAAUUAAAUCGUUUCAUCGUCAAAAGCUGUCCCAAACCAAAAACCCCUAAUUUUAUUUGCAAUACCCUUAAUUCCCUCCAACUCCUUUUUGUUAAGGACAAUUCCAAAAUAUAACCGAAUAGCCUUAAUACGUUCCGCUUCGGUGCGGAACUUAAGGCUCAGUUUCAAAUUCCCUUCCCUCCGCCAUUUUAACCUAUUUUAAUAUAGCAUAAUAAAGCCGUCCAGUUCGCCAUCCAUAAUAUCUUUCAUAUUUGUUUUCCCAGGUGCAAUUAGGGGUUUAUUUAAUAUUAUAAAUCGCUAAAACAAUAAUUUACGUAAUGCGAAACAUGUGCGGUUUAUACCAUGCGUAUUUAGGAUUUCGAUAUCCUCGGGCAGCAAUUUAAAAUCCGAGUUGAAACAGCAUAUUGGCUGCCAUUCCUUACCAGGGCCACGUCGGAACUAAUAUACCCAUAGCCGCCUAAUUUGAUCGACCUGCUGUGCAAUCGCCUGUUUCACUAUUCGCAUUUCCGCUUAAAGUUCUAUAUAUUGAAAACCGUUCGGUUUAAUACCUCCCGUUCCCUCGAACAAUGGUACAGGUUUGGGUGGACCGUAUCCACCAAAACCCACAUCGAGCAAAUAAUAUACGCCAUCGAUCUUGACAAUAUUAAUAUAAUGCACAAGUCCGCCGAAUCUGCCGUUGCAGGGCUUAAAAACUCGCGAACCUGCCAAAAUAACGUCGAAUCCCAGCGAUAGGAGAACCGUAUUAAGCAAUUGGUUCGUUUCAAAGCACCAACCACCGCGGCGGUGGCGGACAAUCUUUUUAUAAAAACGCGUCGGCGAAACACCGAACCCUUUAUACCAAAAGUAAUAAACCUGAAAAUUCUUAUAAAAUACGCUGAUAAAAUGGUGCUUUUUAAAAAGGGUAAGGUAGGCUAACUAUUAAAUAGAUGUAAAUUUGCUGACGGAAAAGAUUCGCUGUAUAGGAGAAAAGUGAACUCGAUUGAAAUAUUUAGUUAUUUCCAAGUUGGCGUAUUUUGGCCGUUUGCAUUGCUAAAUUUGAAUUGUGCUGAUAAAGCGAGCCGAUAAUAAUUGGCGCGACAGGCCUCGGAAACAGAUUGACGUUUUAGGGAUGAUUAUUAUUGUAGCUUAUUUGCUACAGAGGGAUUUAAUGUAAAGAUUUUUUUUUCAUUCUAAAGUCUUCGGAAAAACUGAAGUUGGUGCAAUUAGUUGAAAUAUGUGACUGCGGAAUCAGUAGCCUUUAUAUUAUCUCGACUGUUUGCGUUAAAACAUUCUUUAUAGGCAGAAAGGUUCAAGACAUUUAGACCGCCAUGCGCUCCGUAAAGCAGAUGAAAGAAUUUGAUAAUCCUCUAGACCCUUAACAUAUUGCGCGGAACGUGUACGCGUUUAACACCAUAUGGGAUUUACAGCCCCAGGAUUUUACCGUUAGCGGAAUGCUGGGGCGUCACAUUGCAACCUUUCCAUAUGCUACGCAUGUUAACGAUUAAAUGCAAAUUUCUGCUUAUGUGUAACUAGAAUAGGGACAAGAUGUUGGUGAUAUAAUGUAAAUAGCUGCAGCGAAUAAUAUUAUAAAAUUAUAACCCUGGACGUCUUUUUGUUUCCGUCAUAAGGUUAAACUGGUGCUAUCUUAAUACCGGCGAUAAGUAUUCGGCCCAGAGCCUCGGGGUUGGCGUAAAAUUGGUGACGCAGUACAAAUUUUAUACGGUGACGCCGAAGCAGUUACCGUGUUGGGCAGGAAAAAAAAUAUUGGUAACAUGAUUCGAAAAAUUGGAAUUGUGGCUAAUAUCCGUUUAAAUAUUAUUUCGCCGCAGGGGGAUUAAACGUUGCAAAAUUGGUAAUAAGGACCGAAAGGUUUGGACCAACAAAAAGAUAUUGCGAUUUUCGCGUUCCCACCUUUCUUCGACGUAACGGGGAUUGUUGCAAAAAGAUAAUGGGGCCAAAAUAUUAGACGUUAUACCUAGACCGUUUGCGAAAAAGGAAAGGACAAAAUGUGGGACGUACAUUUUUUAUUCAAAAAUCGGCUAUUUGUUCCACACUGGGUCGGCCACCGAUGUUAUUAUUCGAUUUUGCAACCGCGGAUGUGGUUUAUUUAAAAACUAAUAGGUUCGCCCAUUGGUUAGAAAUUGUGUAAAAUGCACUUUGCAUUCCUGUAAAAAUGCCGCGUGGGUUAUUUUCGCAUAUUACCAAUAUUAACCAAAAAUAACAAAGUUAUUGUUACAAAGAUUUCCAAAGACCAAAUUUGGACCUUUUUCGCGGAACUUAACUAGGCGUGGACGAAUAGGUACAGGAACACCCCUUGGCAGAUUCAGCCUAUCGAAUAUGCCUGAGGCAAUAUAUUGUACGCGUAGGACGGAAAAACUCCUUUCCCUUCCCUUCCCUCCCCUGUAUUUACCUGUAUUUACUAUAACGGUCAAAAUUAUCGCCUAUUUCUCUUUUUAUUCCCAACUCCUGCCUUAUUAAUAUUGCCAAUACCUAAAUAUUUCCUGGGACCCAACCCAAAAACCAUUUAAUAGGGUAAAUUGUAUAUAUAAUAAUUUGUAAUAUUAUGGCUUUUCUAUCUUUGGUUUACAUUGUUUUGUCGUGCUGGUACUGCACAGGCAAUUUAAACAACAUCGUCUGGCAAUUGAAUUCCCGUUUAUCGUAUUAAAAUAAUGGAAUUUACUGGAUGUUUUGUUAAAAAUGUCGAAUGUAGGUCUGGGAUAUUGCCUAAUCGUUUGCAGGUUUAUUAUUAAUAUGUUUUAAAAGUACAACAGUUAAAUAUUUUAGCACUAAGAAGUUUGCUGAAUUUUAAUUGUGGUACUUUUGGGUAUUUCCGGAAAGGAAAAAGAGUCUUGUCUCGAAAAUCAUCCGGAGGUGGGGUUUAUAAUGGGAAGCAAAUAUUCCACAAUAGGUAUAAGCCUCGACCCCAGCACAAUUUGCGGCCAGGUAAACCAAACGGCUAAUUAUUAGGUUAAAUUGGAAACCCUAAAACGAGUGGUUAGCCUUUCGAUAAAAUAAGCAAGGUGUUAUAUUAAUAUAACAGACCUGCAUACGGAAUUACCAUCCGAUUUUCCGUGAAAUUUAAACGUUUGCGAAUUUAUAACAGCACAUUUUACACCCCGCGGGCUUUUUCAGCAUUUGUAUACUUAAAAUAACAAAUAACUUUACGUAAAUUAGGAAGCGAAAUGGUUGGCGAUAACCCUCCGUAUACCUAAUUUGUAUUUAACCACAAAUUUUCGAGGAUGGGUACCCAAUUCUUAUACGCAGUAACCCAAGCCAAUGCAAUGAAAUCCUGUAAGCUAAAUACGGCUGCCAUACAUUAGCACAGUAAUUAGGCAUACCCUCACGGAAAACCAGAUGGUAGCUCCGUACGAAGGACAAAGGAGCCUAUCACAGAUUUGGCGGGGGCCUUGUGCAGGUAACCCCGCUAUUCGGCAUCCUGAACGCACAUAACGUAAAUAUGUUUAUAUUCCCAAUGUAUAAAGGCCUUAUAAAACCGUUCGCACAACCUGAUGGUAAUUAAACUGUUACAUAUAAACGCCACUGCACAAACAAUUGAAAUUUAAAAAGAAUAGCGAAAUUCAGCAUAUUCCCUAUAAUAUAUGGUUUAUUGAGAGGAGUGCAGCAAAUUACAAAUCCGUUACAAUUAGGCCUUAAUUUAUAUUAUAAAUUAUAUAGCCUAACAAACGAAAUAUAUACCAAAACUAAUUGGAAAGGGAAAAUUUUGGGACUUUUUAAAAUAGAUAUUUUAAAUUUAGUUAGGGAAGGAAGGGUUUAGAUCCAGCAACAGGUUAAUUAUUUUUUGUUAAAUUUAAAUCGGUGUGGAUUCGAAAAUUCACCCUGCUUAACCAGGAUAUUUAAUUUUACCUUGUUUUCCCAUUUGUUGUGGUAUUGCAAAUAAUUAUCAGGGAGGAACUUUGUUAUGGGAUCAGUUAAACCACAAUUGCGCUUGCGGUCUAGUUUUAACAAUCCUAACCACCUUUCCAUGCCCAUUGGGUAAAAACCUGCAAACUCCCAAUUAAUUAACGCUAUUGGUUGCAAAGACUGCGGAUCCAUAAAAAUAUUAUGGGCCGCCAGAUCGCCGUGCUGGAAUAUAUACGCGUUUGUCUGGAUAGGGACAAAUUCCCACGUCGUUUUGCCCUUCCAGGGCGGUUAAAUAUCCGGGUUUAGCCAGGAAGGAGGUAUAACGAACCCGUUAAUACCACGAGCUUGAGAUUUUAAAUUGUUUAAUUGGGGCAGGACGGUGUCCUUAAUAAAGUUGGUAGCAUUCGAAUAGGCCUCCUCUGGGCAUUUUGCACAAGGUAAUUCCUCGGCAAUAUACCGCUGCUUUCCAAAUUUUGAGCAGUUUCGGAGUGGAAACUUGUCCAGGAGCACACUUUUAAUUAACUUAGUAAUAAGGUAUCGCCGACCAUCCGGAAGGGAGCCGUGGCAAAGGAACUUUGGUACAGGAAUUUGCGUCUUUUCAAAUAUUAUACGUAAGGCCUUAGUUUCGUUGGUAAUACGUUCGUGGUUCCUGGACGAAAUAUAUAUAUUAUUAUCUUAUAUUUGAAAAGAAAAGAAACAAAAUUCGUUGUAAUAAUUGUAAUUCCAGGGUAAAGGUUGACUUACAAUUACCGGAACCAAAGGAAGGGCGUACCGUCAAAUCGAUAAUCGGGGAUUGGAAACCGCGAGGUUUUCCACAUAAUUAAUUUCUCCCAAUAUAUGCUUAUUAUUAACCGUGUAAAGUUUUCCAAUAGGGUUAUUUAUUUGGCUAUAUGUAAAUAAUAAUUUAUUUACAGUCGUUUUAUUUAUGUCAGACUUUCUCCAAAAUUGUUUUAAAGACCCGUUAUACCUUUUCCCCCGGCCUCCCCGAAAUAAUUGAAAAUGUUAAAACAAGGCCUAAUCCCUAGCAGGUUCGCAAAUUCGAUGUGCUUCGGAAAUAUAACAGUUAAAAAUUUAGCAUUAAGGAGUUUGCUAAAUUUCGAUU